rnacentral:rRNA from 1 species
UGGACGCUGGCGGCGUGCUUAACACAUGCAAGUCGAACGAAGCACUUUAUUUGAUUUCCUUCGGGACUGAUUAUUUUGUGACUGAGUGGCGGACGGGUGAGUAACGCGUGGGUAACCUGCCUUGUACAGGGGGAUAACAGUUGGAAACGGCUGCUAAUACCGCAUAAGCGCACAGCAUCGCAUGAUGCAGUGUGAAAAACUCCGGUGGUAUAAGAUGGACCCGCGUUGGAUUAGCUAGUUGGUGAGGUAACGGCCCACCAAGGCGACGAUCCAUAGCCGACCUGAGAGGGUGACCGGCCACAUUGGGACUGAGACACGGCCCAAACUCCUACGGGAGGCAGCAGUGGGGAAUAUUGCACAAUGGGCGAAAGCCUGAUGCAGCGACGCCGCGUGAGCGAAGAAGUAUUUCGGUAUGUAAAGCUCUAUCAGCAGGGAAGAUAAUGACGGUACCUGACUAAGAAGCACCGGCUAAAUACGUG